UGAGUACGAGCUGCUACGGCAGCGAAGUGGGUGAUGUCAAGCUUCCAAGAAAAGCCCUAUACCCGUUAAGGCAUGAUGGCCUGUACCCGAAACCGACACAGGUGGGGUGGUAGAGAAUACCGAGGGGCGCGAGGUAACUCUCUCUAAGGAACUCGGCAAAAUGGCCCCGUAACUUCGGGAGAAGGGGUGCCACCGCAAGGUGGUCGCAGUGAAGAGGCCCAGGCGACUGUUUACCAAAAACACAGGUCUCCGCUAAGUCGCAAGACGAUGUAUGGGGGCUGACGCCUGCCCAGUGCCGGAAGGUUAAGGAAGCUGGUCAGCGCAAGCGAAGCUGGCGACUGAAGCCCCGGUGAACGGCGGCCGUAACUAUAACGGUCCUAAGGUAGCGAAAUUCCUUGUCGGGUAAGUUCCGACCCGCACGAAAGGCGUAACGAUCUGGGCGCUGUCUCGGAGAGAGGCUCGGCGAAAUAGAAUUGUCUGUGAAGAUGCGGACUACGUGCACCCGGACAGAAAGACCCUAUGAAGCUUUACUGUAGCUUGGUAUUGUGCCCGGGCUCUGAAUGCGCAGGAUAGGUGGGAGGCUUUGAUCCAUUGCUUGUGGGUGAUGGUGAGCCACUGGUGAGAUACCACUCUUUCAGAGCUAGGGUUCUAACGGUCACCCGUUAUCCGGGGACCGGACAGUAUCAGGUGGGCAGUUUGACUGGGGCGGUCGCCUCCUAAAAGGUAACGGAGGCGCGCAGAGGUUCCCUCAGGCUGGUUGGAAAUCAGCCGACGAGUGUAAAGGCAGAAGGGAGCUUGACUGUGAGACCUACAAGUCGAACAGGGACGAAAGUCGGCCUUAGUGAUCCGACGGUUCUGAGUGGAAGGGCCGUCGCUCAACGGAUAAAAGUUACUCUAAGGAUAACAGGCUGAUCUCCCCCAAGAGUUCACAUCGACGGGGAGGUUUGGCACCUCGAUGUCGGCUCAUCGCAACCUGGGGCUGAAGUCGGUCCCAAGGGUUGGGCUGUUCGCCCAUUAAAGCGGUACGCGAGCUGGGUUCAGAACGUCGUGAGACAGUUCGGUCCAUAUCCGGUGCACGCGCAGGAACAUUGAGAGGAAUUCUCCCUAGUACGAGAGGACCGGGAGGAACGCACCUCUGGUGUACCAGUUAUCGUGCCAACGGUAAACGCUGGGUAGCCAUGUGCGGAGUGGAUAACCGCUGAAAGCAUCUAAGUGGGAAGCCCACCUCAAGAUGAGUGUUCCCAUGGCAUAAGCCAGUAAGGUCACGGGAAGAACACCCGUUGAUAGGCUCUACGUGGAAGCGUGGCAACACGUGAAGCGGAGGAGUACUAAUAGACCGAGGGCUUGAC
rnacentral:rRNA from 1 species